GAUCAAAUGGCAGAGACUGUGCCUAAAGUGAUCAGAGUGAAGAGGAUGCUGACACUUAAUUUGCUCUGCCUUUCUCAAAGAAAAAUUGUCAUUACUGAUAGAUUUUGUGAUUCCCGAGAAGGAAGACCGCACAGCAGUCCUAGAUUAUGCCAUGUGGUGUUUUCUUAGUACUGCCUCAUGAUGAUGAAGAUGCUAUUUAGUGGUAAUGACUAGUAUAGGAUAGUUUUUAAUUAAUAAGGAUAUGGAUGAUGGAUAUAGACAGACUUCACAAUUCUUCCUUGCACUCUGAAGGAUAAAAAUUGUUCUGCUUUGCUCCCCAGCAAUGCAUCUCCGUAAAUGCCAGCUCUGCAACUGAAACAUCUGCCAGGUUUACAAGUGUUCUCAAACCUGCCAUUGAUUUCGUAUACUGAAUACUAUGAAGUGGCUGAGAUGAAUGUGGAAAUAUUCUGGAGGGGAAUAUAAGAAAGCCUCUUAAAGACUGGGUCUUGAUUUUGGCAUGAAGAUUUACAACCUGUAUAUGCAAGCCUGUUCUUACAGGUUCUUAACUGUCUCAACAGUAUUGACCAUUGCUGGCCACCAUAUCUGUGAAAAAUUUUUGACAUGCAUACCACUGUGGUGUUUUUAAAGAAGUCCCUGUCAAAUAUCUGCUGUCUUUAAUUUCAAAGGAAAAUAACUGCAUGUGUUCUUUACCACUAAGCUUGGAUACCACCAGACCACCUAUAGCAGGUUCAGAGAGUCAUUAUUUAAACCACUAUUCAAAUUAUUUCAAGAUUAAAUUCCAAAUGGAAUGGCAUUAAAAUGCGUGGUCACCACCUGCAUAAUGUUCUUCAGAAACAACAAAGUACUCCUGUUUUGCAAAAGCGUAAAGGAGGGGAAAAAAAAAAAAGAAAAGCUAGUUUUUAAUUCUUUAACCAGGGAUUACUGAAUAUGCAUACAACCCAGCAAGUGAGAGACUGGCAUUUCAGGUUGUGUAAAGUUAAUAAUGGGCUGCUGAUUCACUUGGCACUAACAAAUGUUCAUUUAUAAGCAACACAAGUGACUGAAAAUAAAAGUGUUGAGUAGUAAAGUAUGUGAAAUAGACAUAAUGACAAAUUAAAUUAAACCUACUGUAAUGAAAAUAAUAAAUCAGGACUUUUUGUUAAUGGAUGGGUUAUUUUUUCUAUUGCAAAAGGUAGAUAGGUACUUUUCUCCUGCCUGCAUCCCAGAUGCAGAAAACGUGCAGCGGAGAACAGUGACUGGACUUCUGAUACCUCCAUUGACUUAUGAGGGAAGGAUAAGUACUGAUGCUGGCUCAGGAAGAGGACUUUUGUCAUGUCAAGAGUAAGCUCCACUACCAAUGUGUUGCUGAACAGUCUUUUUUCAUGUUUUUCUAUUUGUAAACUAAGAGGAGAGGCUUCAGGAAAAGGAUUAACUACAUAUGCAUUUACUACUUCUGUGCUGGCUGAGUCCCACUGAGCAACACAGGUCUCUCCAUGAAGCAGCCUCCACAGCUGGUUCAGACAAGGUGCCGCAAGGUGAUGCCUUUCAGUGGUCCCAGUCUGAAGUGGUGAGAGUGACUGCAGCUGUCACACAAGCAGAAAAGGGUGACUGAGCAAAGGGCAGGGCAAUCUACAGCAGCACAGCAGCCAACAGGAACCAAAGCUCCCCUGUAGAGAAGGGGCUCUGAAAGCCUUUGAAGAGAGACACCACAUAGCCCAGAGUCUGACUGAGGUCCAUUUCAGUGUCACAUUGCUCAGCCUUACCUGUGGAGCAAGGUAUCUUUACCUACCUUGUGCCACACAGUGUUCCUCAGCUCCUGAGCCACCUCUAGCCCUAAGUAAGCAAACAUUUGCAGGGGGAGUGUUUUCAAAAUGCACACUACAGUUGUCAUGUGCUACUGAAAGAACUGAAAUUGAGGUGGUGGUGGUGGAGAAAGUUAAUUAAAUCAUUAGUAAAUAGCUA